rnacentral:rRNA from 1 species
UAAUACGUAGGUGGCAAGCGUUGUCCGGAUUUACUGGGCGUAAAGAGCGCGCAGGCGGCCAAGUCAGUCGAAUGUGAAAGCCCCCGGCUCAACUGGGGAGGGUCAUUCGAUACUGCUCGGCUCGAAGACAGGAGAGGGAAGUGGAAUUCCCGGUGUAGUGGUGAAAUGCGUAGAUAUCGGGAGGAACACCAGUGGCGAAGGCGACUUUCUGGCCUGUUCUUGACGCUGAGGCGCGAAAGCUAGGGGAGCAAACGGA